AGACAGAAAAUUUGAGAGAAAUCUGGAGGAAAAUUUCGAAAAAACUAGGGUUUUUGGCUUUCUUCUCAGAUUCUUCUGUUUUCACGUGUAAUUAGCAUUCCAGAAAAAACAAAAAUACAAAAAUAGUUCGAGUUUCAUUUUUGUUCGAGUCCUUGUUUCAUUUCGAAAAAAUCAGAAAAUUUCCAAAAAAUAUUUUUAGUUUCUUCUUCUGGUUUUUGCUGUUUUGAGAUGGAGAUUGAUUGAGGCGAAGUCAAGGUUGCCGUUCGAGUUCUUAGUUGCUGGUUCGGUUCCUAUCCACCUGCGGCUGCGUUGCUUCUUCAUUUCAAAACUUCAUCGGAAAGUUUAGCUUGUAAUUGCUUACAAACGAAAUUAAUCAAAGCCUCGAUCAAACAGAUUCAGGUGUUCCAGAGGCUGAGUGUGAGUUCCCCCGUUGAUCAGCUUUCACCGGAGACAUCGAGGUAGCUGCAUGGCGUCCGCAGACCCGAUUUCCUCCUUCUAUUUUACUAUUUUUUUGCAUUUCUAGACAUUUCUGUAUUAGGUUGUUCAGACCUGUGAUAGAGGCUUUUGACUUGUGACACCUGAUCGUUGGGCUGUGUAUUAGAAAUGUUUUUGAUUUCCGCAUACUUAACUUACUAUUUCAGACUUUUAAAAUGUUAAA